UAUGGCUUGAAGAGAUUCUUUGGGAUAAGAAAUAUGACAUGGAUGUAUAUCGCUGCAAAGGGGUUUUGAGUGUCCAAAACUGCAAUCAACUACACACUUUGCAGGCCGUAAAGGAGAUCUAUGACAUUGUUCCAGCUCGUGAUUGGAAAGAGAGAGAAACUCGGAUGAACAAGAUAGUUUUUAUUGGUCAUAAUUUAGAUGAAAAUAUCCUGGCUGAUUCUUUCAGAGAUUUUGCAACUUGUUAAUCCUUGCACCUUAUGGAGUCCAGUUUAACCAUCUUUUUUUUUUAAAUUUUUUAUUUGGCGUAAGAAGGUUUUCAAGAAGCUGUUUGUGGUUACUUUCGUUAUGAAAAGGACAGAUUUUGAGACAUAUAGGUGGUCGGACUUACCAACAAUCUGUACGUAGUUUAUUACUUUUCGUUUAUGUAAAGGACAGAUUUUGAGACAUAUAGGU